GGCCAGGAACGAGGCAGGCUCCGGACGACCUCAGGGCGGGACCACAAAACUUAACCCAGAUUUCUCACUCGGGUGAACUCAUCGCUUAGUGGAGGAUCAGGGCCCUGUCUGACGGGCUUGGCAGCGGCAGGAAUGCGGGCGCGGGCUCACCCACCUGCCGAGCCCUGCUUCACAGCAUCCCUGGGGAGCCCGUCCCCUCCCCGUCGCCGGGGGGAGGGGGGUGCCACCGGGGACCGUCCUAACCGCGCCGACACGGUCGAUGUCCCCCAAAUCGUCUGAAACACAUUCCCACGAUUUCCAAGAGGGCGCCGGCGGGGGAGCGCGCGGCGCUUCACAAAGCCAGUGCAAACCCUGGGUAAAAUCCCAGAGGGAUUUUCGCAACACGUCUUUGUGAGGUGCCUCCUUCCUCACGGUGUGCGAGGCUUGCCUCUCGGUGUGCAAGCUCGCCCGGCAGGUGCCCGCGCCACGCACGCCGCCACCCGCUGUCGCGCAGCCAGGGCGCCCUGCGCCUGGGCCACGCCUUGCGAUGCCUCUGCGGACCGAGGAGGGACGAGCACCUGCGGUGGAAAAGUUCCCGAUCUUCGCCGACAGAAGGAUCCAGAAGACAAGAGAGAAGGUGUUCUAAGAAUCUUGGUGUCAAGCUAUGUUCGAUUUGAAUUGCUGGAAGUACACAAGGUACCGAAAACAAAAAUGUCAGAAUUAUUUGUCAUUAAACAGAGUGAAUC